GGUCCGGUAGCUUAGUCGGUUAAAGCAGUCGACUCAUAAUCGAUCGAUCGUGGGUUCAAGUCCCACCCGGACCA
rfam:Gemmatimonas phototrophica strain AP64, complete genome.